GAGGACAGUGGGGCUCCCACCCUCUUGGAGUUCUCACCCUGGGGAUGCCACAUUGUCAUGAGGACACUCAAGCAGUCCUCUGAUGAGGCCCAUGAAGAGAAACUGUGGUCUCCCCUGAGAGACAGCCAGUGUGCCCAUCCCAUGAGCAAGCCUCCUCGGAGGUGGAGUCUCAGGGCCCAUCCACAUCUUCAGAUGCCAGGAACCAUAGCCAGUGUCUCCAUGCAGCUUCAGGAGAGACUUUGAGUGAGAACCCUACCCAAAAUGUUCCUGAAUUCCUGGCCCACAGAAACUAAGCUCUUGAAAAGAACAUCAAGUCAAAAGUGAAUCAGCUUGUUCUUGGGCAGCACCAGAGCCAUGAGCAGUAAUGGAACAGACCUCAGCACUGGUUUCAUUGCUUCUAUUGUAGCCAUCGUUUUAUUCGGCUCAAACUUUGUACCACUUAAAAAAUAUGAGACUGGCGAUGGGAUGUUUCUCCAGUGGGUACUCUGUGCUGCUAUAUGGUUGGUUGCCUUGGUGGUAAAUCUGAUACUACAUUGCCCUAAAUUUUGGCCUUUUGCAAUGGUUGGGGGCUGCAUUUGGGCAACAGGUAACAUAGCUGUUGUCCCAAUUAUCAAAACCAUUGGUUUGGGCCUUGGAAUCUUAAUCUGGGGAUCAUUUAAUGCCUUAACUGGAUGGGCAAGCUCAAGGUUUGGCUGGUUUGGAAUGGAUGCGGAAGAAGUGGCAAAACCGCUGCUCAAUUAUAUUGGAGCUGGGCUGUCAGUAGUAAGUGCUUUCAUAUUUUUGUUCAUCAAAAGUGAAAUACCAAAUAACACAUAUUCUGUGGACACCACACCACUGAUAUCAGAGCAUGUGAUUAACAAAGCUCAAGAUCCUGAUCCUGACUGUUCCUGGGUGGAUAAACUUUCCACAGCACAAAGCCGCUUAGUGGGCUGCAGUCUCGCAGUGAUAUCUGGAAUUCUCUAUGGAUCUACAUUUGUGCCCAUCAUUUACAUCAAGGACCACAGUAAGAGAAAUGAUAGUAUAUAUGCAGGAGCAAGCCAGAAUGAUUUAGACUAUGUUUUUGCACACUUCAGUGGCAUCUUCCUCACAAGUACAGUCUACUUUCUGGCCUACUGUGUAGCCAUGAAAAAUAAUCCUAAACUACAUCCUGAAGCAGUCUUGCCAGGGUUCCUGUCCGGAGUCCUCUGGGCGAUCGCCACCUGCUGUUGGUUCAUAGCGAACCACUCUCUCAGUGCUGUGGUCAGUUUUCCAAUCAUCACGGCCGGUCCAGGAUUUAUAGCUGCAAUGUGGGGUGUCUUCAUGUUUAAGGAAAUACAGGGUCGAAAAAACUACCUGCUGAUGAUGCUUGCAUUUUGCAUCAUCUUGACUGGAGCCUUAUGCACAGCUUUUUCUAAAAUUUGACAACCACAAGGCCAGCAGAUGGCAGCAGCAUUUGAGAACACUUCUCUCCUGGACACAAGAGAUUGUGCUGAGAACAGAGCUCAUAUUCACACACCAAGUGGAUCUUCAUCUGUCCUGGACUGGGUAAAUGAUUUUCUUUCCCACAAAUGUGACACUGAAGGAAAACCAGCUUUCAGUCAAGCGUAAAAAUGAAAAGUUCUUCUAAUGAACUGUUUAUGAAGAGAGGCAGCACUUAUUCCCAGUGAGACUGGCAUCCAGAAUAAGAAUUUUCUACUAUCACAACAAAAAUGCCUGAUUACUAAAAAUCCCUAACAAGUGUUCAAGAAUGAAUAAUACAGUGUUUCCUCUAAGCUACCAAAUCUUCUUUUAGCCCCGUUAUACUGAUUUAUUUGUACUGAUAGAGUUGCUACCUCUUAGCCUUGUGUGUAUCAAUGUUGGGAGAGCUUCUGAAAAACACACUCAGUAAAAAGAUGAGUUGUAGAACCAUGUACAUGGUAUUGUGAUACCAUUUUUUAAAAAUUGUAAAAAUCAAAGUAAUAUGUACAUUUUCUAUAAAUUCAUAUGUAUGCAACAUGUUAAAAAACAUGUACACCAAACUCAUAAGGUUUGCUUCUAGUGAGGAUAAAUAAGAUCAAAAUGGCAACAUGGGGUCAGGGUAAACUUAAGCAUUACCUAUAGUCCUCUACUUUUUAUGAUGAUGAAUUUUCUAUGUGUUCAUUAAUAUGUAUGUGUUAAAGAAUCAACAGCAAAAUAGUUCAGAAGCAUAUGUCUAAAUGUUGAAGUAAUUAAAACUAGGCAAAGAGAGUGUUGAAGGAAUGUUAUUUUCCUCUUUAUCCUUUUUGGUACUGGUUAAAAUUUCAAAACAAGAAUACAUACACACAGGUACACACAAAUAAAAGCAGCAAAAAUCAAGACAGUUGGGAAAAUUUCCAUCUUGGGAAUCCCACCUCCUAAAGGUGGAUGCCAGAAACUCACUUUCAUGGUCUCCCUGCAGUAGGAUCUAAGCCUAAUUCCAUGGUCCUGCUUGAGAUCUUGUGAGCUCCCUAACAUAGUUGUUUCAGAAAUUUGGCCUCAUUAAAAAAGCACACACACACACAAAUAUCUUACAGUCUAUUUAUUAACUUUAAUGAGGUAUAAUUUGCAUCCAAUAAAAUUCUCCCAUUUUAAGUGACCAGUGCUAUAUGAGCUUUAGCAAAUAGACACUCAUAUAAGCACCACUGCGCACUACACACAGAACAUUGCCAGCAACCCCAAAAGUUCCCUUCUGCCUCUUUGGAGCAGAGUGAUUCUUAUCACACCUAGCCUUAUGCUCCAGGCCACGAAUGAUCUGUUUUCUGUCAUUCUGGAUUACUUUUUGCCUAUUCUAAAAUUUCAUAUAAAUGGAAUCAUAUAUAAUGUACCCCUCGAAUCUGAUUUCUUUCAUGUUCUAGCCAUUUUCGAACAAUUUUUCUUGAUCUCAAUUAUAAUUUAUUCUCAUUUAUUUUCCCUAGUGAAAGAAAGCAUAUGUGUGUAUUCAAAACAACAACAAAAGCAAAAAUGACUAACAUUUGGAAUUAUUAUAUUUAAGUGUGUGAUGUAUCCUGCUCCAGAAAUUCACUGUUUUAAAUUAAUAGUGUAAUUAAAAAGAGUUCUUAGCUACUCUUUGAGUCCAUCCCCAUUCUCUAAUAUUCUCUUUUGAGGAGCUGCAAAAUAUUAAGCUGCUUAAACCAGAUCACCUCCAUUUUCUGCAUGUUGAAAAAAAAAAUGCAUACUCUUGGGUUUCCUACAACGGCCUAAUGGAUUACUAUCUCUGGGUCUGGAAAGUAUGAAUUUGCACUUUUUACAAGUGCCCUUGGUGAUUCUUAUCACACCUGAACACUAAAUUAUUUUGAAUCUGUUGACUUAUACCUUGAUAUUUAAAGGAUUUCAAAGUACUAAGUUCUUACAAAAUAAAGAAUAUUGUCUUCUACCUUGAGAGGAAGAGAGAAAAGUUAUUUUUAAAAAACAGGUAUUCAUUUAAUUUUAUGAAGGUUUGGGGGAGAAAAAAAUGAAAUGCUUAAAACCAUUACAUUUACGUGGUAUUUUUAGGAAAAAAUAACAAUAAUAAUAACUAGGCAUUGUAUUAUUAUUUUUGGUUCAAACACUUAAUUUCCAUACAUUGAAUCAUCUCCAGUUAGUGGCCACAUCUAUUUUUACUUCAGAUUCUGCAAACUGACUCUUUAAUAAUAAAAUCUCUAACACAAUUCAUAUUGACAAGAUCUCACGAAAACAAACAAAAAUCCCAACUUCCAUAUGGAUAUUUUGCAGCAAGAUCCAGUGAAACAAAUCACUGGAAAUGAACUGGAGAGGAAGGUGAGAAUUGUUCUUUGUGUGGAGACAGCAGGCUGCAAGCCUGACCCCAACUUACUGCUUAUUACAGGUAUAAGUCACAAAUACAGCAUUCCACAUGGUUUUCUGGAGAACCUCAUAGAGUCUUCCAAGACACUGGCUAUUUUUUCUUUUU